AUUUAGUAAAUCUCAAUAUAAUUAGUUGGGGAGUAAAUCUUAGCCGUCCUUCCCUUUCAAUCGUGGCCAUUUGUUUCUUUCACUAGAUGUUAUCACCUUUGCCGUUUUCGUUUCCACCUCUUCAAGGCGCGAUACAUUUUCGUUCUUCAAUCUUCCACCUCUUCAAAAGUCUUCCGUUUCAGUUUCUCCCCUGACUCGGCCGCUUCAUUCUCUGCAGCCUCAUUCCAGCGAUAUAAGAUCCCCCUUCCACCUCCAUCAAACCCAAAUCGACACAACCUCCUUCAACACCCAAACUCGCGACACCAUUCCUUCUUCCUCAGCCAAGCCAUCGCUGUCACCGCUUCCUCUUUCCCUAGCCAAACCACCUUCCCUAACCUUCGAUUAAAUCCAUCAAUCUUCCAUACUUUUAAUUUUCAUUUUAAUUUACUUACCCUUUAUUUGCCAUUCAUGUGUUAUUCGUAAUUGAUCCUGCAUUGCUGCCAUCUGCUCUCCUCCAAGGCCAAAGUAACAUCUUUUAUUAUUUAUCCAUUCGGUUAAUGUUUAUUCAGUCUUUUGAUUUUCCUUUCAUAUGUUCUUCUUAAUCGGCCCAAUUUAGGAUGCCAUAUGCUCUCUUGCAAUGCUAAGAUCUUGACCUGUAUUGAUUAUUUGUGCUCUGAAGCACUUAACUGCUAAAAGUUGCCUUUCUUCUCUGUUGCUCAAUUGGAUCUGGACCUGCAUUGAUUAUUUUUUUGUGUUUCUACCAUCUGUUAGUAAAAUUCCAUUGAGCUAUAGAACAAGAUCAUACAUUUUCAUAUUUUCUAUUCGGUCAUGUGUUUAAUCUCUACAAUGAUAAGAGCAAGAUUUGGGGGGAUUGAGAUUAUGUCAUGUAUGAAAGGGGAUGAGCUGCUAGGUUAACAUAGGCUCACUUUUGCAUUCUCAAGGACUAUGUUGAAUUUUAAUUCUGCAAUGUACCUUUUCUUCCUUUCCUUUUUCUCACUGAUUCCACUUUCUUGAUAGACAUCAAGCCCUAAUUGGAUUCUGCUCUAUUUGAACUCAAGUGGUUCAUAACCGGAUGAAGAGUGUGAAGAAUAUCCAAAAAAUCACCAAGGAAUGAAGAUGGUUGCUACUCCUAAGCUACAAUUCAUAACCGGAUGAAGAGUGUGAAGAAUAUCCAAAAAAACACCAAGGAGUGAAGAUGGUUUCUGCUUCCAAGCUACAAUGAUUUUGUGCAAGAGUAACACACAUGAUGAAAUGAAGGAGGAUUGGGAAAAAAAGACGGCUAGGGCGAAAGAUUGGAUAGCUUCACAAAGCAAUUCAGUUUAUAAGAAAUGUGAUAAUAAACCUGAUGAAACAAUGGCUUGGAAGGACAACAGAUGAAGUGUGUUGUGUUCACAUCUCUUUAUCUCAGCCCUAAAAUUAUCAAAUUGAAACCAUGUUUACUUUCAAGAAGUGCUGAAGCUUGAAACGUUUCUCAUGUUUGUCCUAUUUAAAGAGAUCAUAAUAUUAAAGUUCAAGAUUUAUGCAACUAUCUCAUAAAUCUGGAAGGUGGUAGUUGGGGCUUAAAGAGAAAGAUGCAGAACUUAUGUCUUUAGGGCUCCAUUGUGAUUUGGUUACGACCACCUAUGAAAUCUGUUCCGCAAGAAGGAUACUACUUUGUUCCUUCUUGCUAAACAAUAAAUGUUGUGGUUUUUUGUUGCUAAGAUACGACCUUGUAAAUUAAAUCUACAUAUUUCCCUUUGAUUUCUGUCUUUGCUCACAGAUUUUGGGGUUUAAAAUGAGAGGAAAUCCCUUCGGCUCCAUGCCCAGAGUCUUCCAGCAGAAUGGUGAAGAUGAAGUAAGUUAAAGGGUCAUCUUUUUAGUCUGAAGGAUUUUAUUUUUCACUUUCUCUGGCGGGAAAGUUGUUUAGGCCAUAGUGGGGUAGCUGCAGAACCAUCACAAAAUCUUCCAUGUUGCUACUGGGGAGGGGCCAAGAGUAAUGUUUCUUUUAUUCUCUUUAGGUAGUUACAAUUGACUAUUUUUUCAUUUUGUUUUUAUUUCUUUAUUGUCUAAAACAUUUUAAAUUUGAAGCAAGCUGCACUAUUGUUAGUAUGUGUUACAAGGCCAAAGUUUUCUAUUAAUAUUUUCAAAUUAGUUUUGAUGUUAAUGCAGCAACAUCCACAAAACUUGGCUGGCUUUGGAGACAGUUUCUAUUGCUAUAAUGAACUACCGUUUAUACACAUGCUAUCUUGCUUUAUAUCAUGCUUCAUUUUAUACACAUUCUACCUUGAAUUCAUGCAAUUGGCCGGGACAAUCUUAAGCAAUUCUUUUUUCAAAUUAUAUAGUCUACAUUGUUUUAUAAUCACUUCCAUGCUUUGGUGCUUCCAAUGUUUCUUGGAUGAGCAAAGAAUUGCCCUGUUUUGAAUUUAGGAGGAACAUAGGGUAAAAAUAUCUUGCUGUCCCUGGAAACAUCUCACAUUUUACUUUUGUUUGUAUACCUCUACCAUGAAAUUUUGUGAAUUCUUAUACCAUAUUAUUUCACAAGUAAUACCCUAUAGGGAGAAGAAAUUAGCUGACAUAUAUGCCAUGAAAAGGUCUGAAAUGCUUAAUAGGGGAUAUGCGUGUUUCAUGUUUUCCUUUGAAGUUCGUUAUAUCCAUUCUUCCACUUUUCAGUUAAUAUCAGGGAAAAGAAUGUAAUGAUGAUCACAGGUUGAGCAGGUUAGAGUUGAAAGGAAUGUGCUUGCAGAAGUUGUCAGUGAUUGAAUUGUGAAACUGUAUUACUCCAUGUGACCAAAUUAAAUAGCCGGUUCUCCCUGACUUCAUAAUCCUUUACUUCAAUGAUGAUCCUAAAUGGUUAAAGCAUAGUGUGUUUCUUAUAAAUAAUGGUUAAAGCAUCUCAACCUUUGUUUUUCACUUAUCGGUGUUCAGUUUUUUCCUUCUUUGAGAUACUAACAUGCAAGUAUUACCUCCUUAUUAAUUCGUAUUGUGUUUUUCGGCAGCAGAACACUAUUGUUCUCCAAACAUAUGCAGUUUUCUCAAGGGCCUUCUUUGACUCAUAUGUUUCAGUUAAAGACCCUCAUUCUUACAAUAGUGUUGACUUAUGAGGAGUUCGUACCAGGGCCUUCUAAAGUUGAUUUCUUCACCUUUUGAAUUAAGUUUUAAUUAACUGGUGAAGAAAUUAUGUUCAAAAAGACAAUAAAGAUUUGAAUU